GUUUUGUUUUUGCGAACAGACGGCUUUCAGUCUGUUAUAAUGCCGGAAGCACGACGCAGCAGGGAAACUGCCGGAUCUGGGCUGGUGCUUGCAAAAUGCCUGGCACCUGCGACGCGGUUCAAGAGCAGACCCUCCAAGUGUCCUUAUUCUCCAAGGACAGCCCCAGAUUUAUAGAAGCCGCCCAGGUUUCUGACUUGAUCCCAGAAUGACCUGCUUUUCCUUAUCCUUGGAGGAAUUCUGCAAUUUAUUAUCAAGACCUGAAAGAAGAAAUAAAGAAUACAAAAGAAAAAGAAAUAAAGUAAAAAAGAAAAGAAACAGACCACAAACAAACAAACAAACAAACAAACAGACAAAACAAAAGACAUGGCUUUAAAUAAACAUAAUUGACUAUAUAUUCUUUGCGUCCUUAUUUUAUCCUUAUAUAGCACACGGAUCAACUUUAUAUGUUAUAUUCAUUAUUUCCCUCCAUUUUAGAAGAUGUUGUUUUCCUUAUUUUUCAAUAUUCACUCUAUUUCUACCAGGAGAUGUUUAGUAUUAUAAUAUUGAUCUAGAUGUUCCUUAAAGAUUUCCCAUUCUCUUUGAACCCUUUGAUUGGAGUAGCCUCUAAGUCUCCCUGUCAUUACUGCCAUUUGCAUUUCACUUUAAAACGCUUAUGGCAAGCAGGGUCACAGCACAUACAAUACAAAGCACAAAAGCUUUUUGCUACAAAAUGUAUCCAUGUGGAGGCUAUGCUUAUGCACAGUAGAUGUUGAACUAUGGCACCAAAUCAACCGAUCUGAAUAAUAUGCUUAUGCUAGAAGUGAAGGCACACAAAAUGAAAUGUAACUAAAUAAGUUCUGGCUAACAACGGUGGUCCCAUCUGGUCCCAUCACCUCCUAGCAAAUAGAAGGGGAAGAAAUGGAGGCAGUGAGAGAUUAUAGUUUCUUGGGUUCCAUGAUCACUGCAGAAAUAUCAGCAACCUCAGAUAUGCUGAUGACACAACCUUGAUGGCAGAAAGUGAGGAGGAAUUAAAGAACCUUUUAAUGAGGGUGAAAGAGGAGAGCGCAAAAUAUGGUCUGAAGCUCAACAUCAAAAAAUCUAAGAUCAUGGCCACUGGUCCCAUCACCUCCUGGCAAAUACCGUAGAAGGGGAAGAAAUGGAGGCAGUGAGAGAUUUUACUUUCUUGGGUUCCAUGAUCACUGCAGAUGGUGACAGCAGUCACGGAAUUAAAAGAUGCCUGCUUCUUGGGAGAAAAGCAAUGACAAACCUAGACAGCAUCUUAAAAAGCAGAGACAUUGCCUUGCCGACAAAGGUCUGUAUAGUUAAAGCUAUGGUUUUCCCAGUAGUGAUGUAUGGAAGUGAGAGCUGGACCAUAAAGAAGGCUGAUCACCGAAGAAUUGAUGCUUUUGAAUUAUGGUGCUGGAGGAGACUCUUGAGAGUCCCAUGGACUGCUAGAAGAUCAAAC